UACGUAGGGAGCAAGCGUUGUCCGGAUUUACUGGGUGUAAAGGGUGCGUAGGCGGCUUUACAAGUCAGGCGUGAAAUAUAUGGGCUUAACCCAUAGACUGCGUUUGAAACUGUAGAGCUUGAGUGAAGUAGAGGUAGGCGGAAUUCCCGGUGUAGCGGUGAAAUGCGUAGAGAUCGGGAGGAACACCAGUGGCGAAGGCGGCCUACUGGGCUUUAACUGACGCUGAGGCACGAAAGCAUGGGUAGCAAACAGGAUUAGAUACCCUGGUAGUCCAUGCCGUAAACGAUGAUUACUAGGUGUGGGGGGUCUGACCCCUUCCGGGCCGGAGUUAACACAAUAAGUAAUCCACCUGGGGAGUACGGCCGCAAGGUUGAA
rnacentral:rRNA from 1 species